UACAGAGGGGGCGAGCGUUGUUCGGAAUUACUGGGCGUAAAGGGCGCGUAGGCGGCCAACUAAGUCAGACGUGAAAUCCCUCGGCUCAACCGGGGAACUGCGUCUGAUACUGGAUGGCUUGAAUUCGGGAGAGGGAUGCGGAAUUCCAGGUGUAGCGGUGAAAUUCGAUAGAUAUUCGGAAGAACACCAGUGGCGAAGGCGGCUCACUGGACCGGUACUGACGCUGAUGCGCGAAAGCGUGGGGAGCAAACGGGG
rnacentral:rRNA from 1 species